AAAACAAGACUGAUGUUACAGCCCAAUCAUCAGACCCCAGUCCAAUAAUAAUAAAAAAAAUACUCCAGGGGUGACAUCAAACCUGCUGUUUCAGAGGCAAAAUAAGAAAUUAUAGAGGAAUGUUGGAUUGUAGUCAAAUUGUCCGGAGCUGGAAUACCUGUUAGUAGUUGGUCGACUACAGAUGUGAAGCAGUUCUCAAAAACAGCUGCUCAACUAAAUUCUUCAGUGAUUUAGAGGAGACCUGAAUCUUCAAGCGUGUUUUCCCAGGUCUAUACACAGUAAAUGUCUGAGUUCUUUAAGAAAAAUGCACUCACCGCCACAUUUUCGAACAGCUGAAUAUUUAUUUCUUUUGCUUUUUCCAGUAAUGAUAAAUUAGACGAAGAUUUCUUCAGGCUUUGUUUUGGAAUUGAAUAUGCAGUGUUCCCAAUACGCUUGCGCUUUAGAAAUCAAAGAUUUGAAGUUUUACACUUUUGAAGAAACCUGUCAAUCAUUCUGAAUACAGUAUAACUGCACACGUUUCAUAAUGGUUAUGACACACACGAAUAGUCAAACUAUCAAAUAAUUUUGGAACGAACACAUAAACUAACAAAUAAUUGCCUAAAACUGUGAUUGACAAAGAUAAACUCGCCACUAAAAUGUAACUGUUUAUGUCUGUUUCUACGUUAUCGUGAAUUUUAAUUGAUGGAAUGUUUAAUUAUUGAUUAAUAACUGUUUAUUUAUUAAAUUUUAAAUGAAACGGCUCUCAUAUAUUAGCAUAAACAAGCUUCAGGCUACAGUCAGAAAUACCAGACAUGCUAUUCCCUUCAAGAACGUUCUAGUUCUUUAAAUAGCCUAAUUCUCCACACCUGCGCCUCUCUGAGCCGUCUUCAAUUCGACAGACCUUUACUAAUAACAAUGACUCAGUUUAAGACGGUGAAGAAGUGUUAUGAUACCGACCUGAAUCACAGCCUCCAGUCUUGGGAGAUCCAACUCCAAGAUGUGAAAGUAGCCCAGCAUGAAGAGAUCCAGGGUCAGGCUGUCGUAGUCGACUGGCACCCCGUCCAGACGAGGUAGGAACUGCUCUGGGGAGAAGAGGGCCUUCUGCCUAUGGAGCCUGUGGAAAACAUCACAAGAUUGUUAAGGACUUAAGACAGAUUAUCAAGAAUGCAUCAGGGUCCUGGAUUUCCAUAAGUCUUUGAACGCCUCGUUAAAGUCUGGACCACAGACUGCUGCAGAGUGGUUGGAAACGCACAAUCCUCACCUGGGCGCCUCCCGGAGGAGAAGCUGGAGACAGGUGAGACCCCCGUUGGCUGCAGCGUAGUGAGCUGGUACCGCUCCACAGUUUGUCUGGGCAGUGGCCACUCCUUCAACCGACAGGAGCCACUCGGUCAUCUCCACACGGCCAAACCGAGCUGCCAGGUGAAGAGCCGUGGCUCCCGCCGCGUCGCCGUCCUGGAAAAGAGUCACAGAGACCUGCUGAAGAAGACAAAGGAUCGGAGGAUGUGUUGUUUUCCAGAGCUGCAGCACAAAAGGCUAUUACUGUUAAUAAGCCUAUAAUUAUCUCUUAAUUUGAGUCGAUACAGUUUCUAAUUCUGGAGGAAAAGAAACAAAUAAAAACUUAACUGUGCAGUCGUUAA